rnacentral:rRNA from 1 species
GGUUUCUUGAUGAAGGAUAAGAGAUUUAACCUGCCCACUGAUAUUAUAAUUGAAGGGCCGCAGUAAUUUGACUGUGCAAAGGUAGCAUAAUCAUUAGUCUUUUAAUUGGAGGCUGGAAUGAAUGGUUGGACGAGGUAUAAGCUGUUUUAUAUUAAGAAAUUGAAUUUUGAUAUUGAGUAAAAAGACUCAAAUAUAAUUAAGGGACGAGAAGACCCUAUAGAGUUUAAUAAGUGUAUAUUUAAUUAAGUUAAUAGUGAAUUUUUGGUUAUUAGAAAGCUUAUUUGGUUGGGGUGACAAAAAGAUAAAGUAACUCUUUUUUCAAUUGAAUGUUAAUGAGUAGUAGAAUGAUCCAUGAAUGGUGAUUAUAAGAUUAAAUUACCUUAGGGAUAACAGCAUAAUUUCUUUUAAGAGUUCUUAUCAAAAGAGAAGAUUAUGACCUCGAUGUUGGAUUAAGAUAAAUUUUGGGUGUAGAUGUUCAAAUAAUUAGGUCUGUUCGACCUUGAAAAUCUUACA